rnacentral:misc_RNA from 1 species
UGGUUGGAUCAGGGUUUAAAUGAAAUGUACUCAUGUCCCACUUGUCGAAAGCCACUUUUUGUUGGCAGAACUGAAAAUGAAGCAAACCGUCACAGUGGAGACAUUUUAAGUGAUGAGCUGCUUGCUCGUCAAAUAAGUGAAGGGCUUGAUCAGCAAAACACUCCUACUCUACCUGGAGUAUUCCCAAAUCAGACUCGUAAUUCUAUAGAAGGCGGCCCAUGGAGAAGUGCAGGAUUGGAUUCAAGUCGGCUGCAUAGCAUACUUGGCCUGGCCAGGGUGUAGAUGGAGCUGGUCCCUCUACUGCUAUGAGAUCAGUGGGACUGGGGAGAGUUCAAAUGAUGAUGAGGCAUCUUGCAUCUGUAGGGGAAACCUAUGCUCAGAAUGCUCUUGAGGAUGCUGCUUGGAGCCUCUGGCCCAUGAAUCCCUCUGAAGCUGUUGCAUCUGGAUCUUCUGUCCCUCCUGCUACCGUUGGAAGAUCAGCUGGAGGUACUGGUGGUUUACACAUGAGGACUGCCGCACGCUCUGCAAGUGACAACAUAGUAAACUUGCUUGCCAUGGCUGAGACAGUGCGGGAGGUUCUGCCUCACAUUCCAGAUGAGUUGAUACUUCAGGACUUGCAGCGAACAAAUUCUGU